AUGUCCAGCGACGCCGAACGCGCGGCCGCCGAGAAGACCGAGGCCGACAAGAAGGCCGCCGAGGACGCUUCUGCUGCUGCUACCACUGCGGUGGCGGCUUCUGCAUGUCCUACUGGAGGGUAUACCGCGUUUAUCCCUCUCCUGAUAAUUUCUGUAUUAGCAGUGCUAGCAUCAUGUGUAGAUUUGUCUACUAUUUGUGUAGUACGUGCUUGUUUAGAUCAGUACCAAUAUGUUGUUAGUUCUGUCAAUGCCAUGCUAGUUAUCUACUUAUGGAUUAAAUUAGUCGAAAAAUUGCCUAUUUUCUUAGCAAUCCAAAAACCUAAUGUGUGUAGGAGUUUUUCGAAUUCUGGUUUUGCUGCUACACUGAAACCGUCCCCGUUUACGGGGACAUACUUUAAGCAUUGGCAGACUAAAACCACCUUAUGGCUCACGGCCAUGAACGUGUUCUGGGUCGUCGGUGUGACUCCCACAGGAACGAUCGCUCCUGAACAGGAGAAGGCGUUCAAGGAGGCCACUGUCGUGUUCCUCGGGGCGGUUCUGAGCGUGAUUGGAGAUAAGCUGGUUGACGCAUAUUUGUAUAUGCGGUCUGCCAAGGACUUGUGGGAGGCGCUCGAAUCUAAGUUCGGGGCUGCCGAUGCAGGGAGCGAGACGUAUAUUACAGAGCAGUUCCACGAUUACAAGAUGGUUGAAAACCACCCUGUAUUGGAGCAGGCUCAUGAGAUAAUAUGCAUUGUUAAGGAGCUUGAGCUUCUUAAGUGCGAGUUACCGGGCAAGUUUGUCGCGGGCUGCAUAAUCGCUAAGCUCCCCAGUUCCUGGAGGAACUUUGCCACCACUCUGAAACAUCAGAGGCGUGAAUUCUCCGUGGAGGUUGUCAUUGGCCAUCUGAGUGUUGAGCAGAAUUCAAGGGCAAAGGACUCGCACGGAAAAGGGGUCGAAGGAACUUCCGUGGCCAAUAUGGUACAUCAGAAGAACUCCAAUUCCCACAAGCUCAAGGGAAAGAACGGUGUCCAACAGAAUACCGACUUCAAGAAGAAGGGUAAGAAGACCUUCAAAAAGAACAAGAAGGAUGAGGGUUGCUUUACUUGUGGUUCGACUGAACAUUGGGCCAACAAGUGCCCAAACAAGUUUAAGAAGUCAGGACAGGACUCCAAGUCCGUCAACAUGAUUGUGGACAACAAUGAGAAUGGUCAUAGGCCACGGGUCCGUAUUGAUGGGGAAUGGUGCAAGUGCUUCUGUCCAUGGUGUUGGUACGGUCGAUCUGAAGUUUACUUCGGGAAGGAUCGUGCAGCUGAAGAACGUGCAGCAUGUCCCCGCCAUCAAGAAGAACCUCGUUAG
rnacentral:rRNA from 1 species